UCUCAAACCCUAGCCUACAUAUAAACGUAUCGAGAGGUCGACGUUUCUCCGCCGAUUGCGAGCGAAGCGAGAAGGGAGAAAGGGGCGAGCGAAGUUUACGGGAGCGCGAAGAUGAGGGCGAAGUGGAAGAAGAAGCGCAUGAGGCGGCUGAAGAGGAAGCGCCGAAAGAUGAGGCAGAGAUCUAAGUAGGUGGAUGCAGGCCCAAAGCAAAUCCUUCAUAACAUAUCCCUCCUCUCAUCGCUAAUUACUUAGUAGUGAGACUGUGUUAGUGAAGGCAAAUGCUUCACCCUUUUUGUCCGCCGAAUAGUUUGUUUUGCUGUCUUAGAAUUCGGAUGUUCUACUUAGUAUUGUUGGCUACUUAGCUAUCUAUUUGAAUUGAGAGUAUUUGUGUAAGGAACUUGUAACUGGAUUUAAAUUAAUAUCAGUUUAUGUUUGCUUUGAAGCUUUGUGGAUUUUG